rnacentral:rRNA from 1 species
UACGGGGGGGGCAAGCGUUGUUCGGAAUUACUGGGCGUAAAGAGCUCGUAGGCGGUUUGUCGCGUCUGCUGUGAAAUCCCGAGGCUCAACCUCGGGUCUGCAGUGGGUACGGGCAGACUGGAGUGCGGUAGGGGUGACUGGAAUUCCUGGUGUAGCGGUGGAAUGCGCAGAUAUCAGGAGGAACACCGAUGGCGAAGGCAGGUCUCUGGGCAUUAACUGACGCUGAGGAGCGAAAGCAUGGGGAGCGAACAGG